AUGUGUCAGAGUGUGUUAAGAAGACGUCUCCAGCUGACCCCACAUCUACUGGCACCACGGCAACAGACAGCAAGGCAGAGCUGGGUGGGGUUCGGUAACCGCUGCAUUCAGCCCAAAGGCCCUCGGGAACCCCCCCUGGAGUGGACAUGAUGGAACGACCCAUCCCCCCGUCCACCUACAGUGUCCUCCCCCGUCAGGAGAUGGACUCUACCGAUUUCACCUGGCUGGUCCAAAACCCUAGUUCAUAGAUGCCACAGACAGACGGCACACUUUACAUAGAAACACCUUCUGUGUGUCUCUGUGCUCCUCCUCAUCUUCAUCUUCAUCUUCCUCCUCCUCCUCCUCCUCAGUCCUUCCUCAAAGUGCCACUUUGCAAAGCAGAAGAACACUCACUGGUCAAGUGUCCACGUUUUCCUGUUCAGCUUGCUGAUGUUAGAAGUUUUCCCCGCUCUAGAUGCUGACCUGAGAUCUGUCUUGUUAUUCUCCUGUUCAUGGUUAAAGAACAACUCCCUCUCUCCCACUUUCUGUGUGCUGGUGCUACAUUAUAAAAGAUCAGCAUAGGAACAGAGCACCCAUGCACCCCCACACCCCCAUCCCAUCAGGGUUUCUGGGCGGGUUUAUUCCUGUGUUAGCUGCAGUAUUUCAUAUUUCUAUGCUGACCUCCCUUUUUCCCCAGUCAUAGGUUGAUGUAGUUCGGUCAUUGCAGUUGUCAGUAACAGCCGAAUUAAAGGAAUUGUUCUUCAUUUUUGGGAAAAAUAACAAUUUUUUACUGAUGCAAAGUUUACAACAUUAUUUUUCUGCAUUUGUACACAGAGGCUGUUAGCUUAGCUUAGCAUAGCUUAGCAUAAAGACUAGACACCCGAAGAUAUGUUUUCCCCUUCUAGAGCCUGACAAGCUUUUUAUCCAGCGUUUAUGCAAGCUAAGCUAACCAGUUGCUAGCUGUAGCUUGAGAUAUGACAGUGGAAUCAAACUUCUCCUCUAACUCCAUGCAAGAAAGUAAACAGUUGCAGUUUCCAAAUUGUCUAACUGUUCCUUUAAAUCUCUGCUUACUCUGUAUUUGUCAUGUGGCGAUGGAAAACAAAUCUUAACUCUUAAAUACUGACAAUAAAAGUAGUUCUGUAACAAAUGAUCCGUUACAUGUCUACGCUUGAAAUUACAAAACCAAAGAGUGAUGUCCCCUUCUCAAAGAAUUCACAAUAAAAAAGCAAAGACUAGUUAGUAUGAAAAACACCGACAUGUAUCCUACAAUAUUUAACACUAAAUCCGGCCCAGGAAUUCUGCUUUCUCCAGUCACUAAGGAGUCAAAGUGACCUGAAAUCGAUCAGUAAUGACCGAACUGCUCAGCUGUGUGACUCUGUCCUCACUGCUGGGACGUGAGCCUGCCUUAGUCUGCCUCUCAGAGACAGUCCUUCCUCCUUUGGCUUCUCUAUAAACUUCAUUUCCUGGGACACAAUUCACUGUUUUUCCCCUCAGCACUGUCUUGUUUUUCUGCUGUUACAUUUUUUGAUGUCAUUCUCCUUAUAAUAUUGGGUGGUCAAAGGUUUUAUUUGAUUUUAGCAGCCAUAUUACUUCCAGUAAACCUCAGUGUUUCAGAGUACACAUCACCCGUUGCUCUUAUGGGACUUGACAGAUUAAUGUAAAGUCUGAUUUCCCAUAGCAAACUCUUACAGACUUGAAUGUUUUUUCAAAUAAAAAAAUCGUACCUGC